UGCCACUAUUGAGGAUUGAACUCACGACCCCUGGUUUACAAGACCAGUGCUCUAACCACUGAGCUAUGGCGGC